rnacentral:lncRNA from 1 species
UUGAAGUUGAUAAUAAUGUUGAAGUUGAUAAUGAUGUUGAGUUGAUAAUAAUGUUGUUAAUAUUGUUGAUGUUGAAAUUGAUUAUGAUGUUGAAGUUGAUAAUGACAUCGAAGUUGAUAAUGAUGUUGAAGUUGAUUGAUGUUGAUUCUUGCUGUUAAAUUUGUCAUGCGGUAAAUUUUAUGGCGGAUUACAAGUUGUGCAACUAGUUACUCAACUUGUAAUUUUGGCGGAAUUUACUUUAAGCUGCUAUGGACUACCCAGUGGCUCCUGAUAUAACUUUGUUACUGCUGGAUCGCCCUUCAGUAAUUCAAUCGUCAUCAAGUUUUGAUUGACAAGUUGAUUGUGUUUCUUUCUUGCAAUAAAUGCCAUGACAAAUUUACAGCCAAAUAAAACAUAAUUUCUUUAGUGAUUUUGAUUUAUAGUUUAUUCGUUGGAUUCAUUAAUUACAUCAUGAGGUCAAACAAUGAGAAUACAGAUUUAAACAAUACAAGUACACUUACAUUUUAUCUAGGCCCCCCUUUCAAUCUAUGUGUGUGUAUAUAUAUAUAUAUACAAUAAUAGAAUUUAAUUCAAUAAUAAUUAAAUUCAGUUAUUGUAAUUAUAUAACUUGGUAUGCCUAUUAUUGAUUUAAAUUGACGGUGUGUUCGAUUCAUUUUAUACUGGUCACUUUAAUAUGCUAAUUAGUUUAGCCCGCGAAAUGUUAGUCCGUGCAAUUUACCUCGUGUGGUUUGGUCAUUUGAAUUCAAACCUUACACGGAGCUUGACCAAAGCUAUAGAAUUUACCCGCCCUCCCUUUUCCCCAUUAUGAAUAUUUUCUGCUGCUUUUCAUUUAUCGUUUCAGUUUUGGAAGAAUGAUUAUAGAACCAGCGUCAUGGCAUAUAUAACAGACUGAGUUUGGAGCUUUUUUUGUAUUGUGAAUGGACAGGCGGAAUUUACUUUAAGCUGCUAUGGACUACCCAGUGGCUCCUGAUAUAACUUUGUUACUGCUGGAUCGC